GAUGUGGUUGUUGCAUACACUUAGCUCGCUCCGAAUCGAUAUAUAUUGCAGGUUGAGGACUCAUGCUUGCACUGAACCAUACAUAAUUGCAGCUAGACGCCAGCUUAGUGCAAUGCAUCCAAUCCACAGACUCUUGAAGCCUCACUUCAAGUACACGAUGGAAAUCAAUUCGCUAGCACGAGAAGGCCUGAUCAACGCUGGCGGAGUUAUUGAGGAGAAUUUCUCUAUUCUCAAGCACACCAUGGUGGCUAGCUCUGCUGUAUAUGACAAAGUGUGGCGAUUCGACUAUGAGGUUCUUCCUAAGGAUCUAAUUAACCGGUGAGUAGUGUUUCACAAUUCAUCUUGUUGACCAAUUGAACAUAACAUUCUGUAGAAUUAUCGUGUUGUUUCAGUGGAAUGGCAGUGGAGGAUCCGUCUGCUCCACACGGUCUAAAGCUAACCAUCGAAGACUACCCCUAUGCUAAUGAUGGUCUGUUGGUAUGGGAUUCCAUCAAACAAUGGGUCACUGAUUACGUCAACCAUUACUACGCAGAUCCGAGGCACGUAGCUUCGGAUACCGAACUUCAAGAGUGGUGGAGCGAAGUUCGUAACCAAGGCCACGCGGACAAAAAGGACGAACCAUGGUGGCCGAGUCUGAAGACCCCGGAAGACCUUGUUCAGGUGGUCACAACUAUAAUAUGGGUCGCCUCGGGACACCACGCGGCCGUCAACUUCGGGCAGUAUGCCUACGGGGGAUACUUCCCGAACCAGCCGACCAUAAGCAGGCUGAAAAUGCCGGACGAA
rnacentral:lncRNA from 1 species